rnacentral:lncRNA from 1 species
GCGAAAAAAAUAUUGUUCUUCAAAAAUCUAUGAACAGAAUCCACAGAAAACACAAAGCAAUUAACACAAUAAACACAAGGGGCAUAAAAAGGUACCGAUAUCAUCUUGUAGCUACACAAAUCUAAAGCUACCAAGGUCAAACAGCUAUCUCCACAAAUAAGACAGCAAGAAAAAAGGGAAAAGACCGACAAAAGCAAAGCAUCCAACUUGAUGAGAAGCAAGAAAGCAAGAAAGAAAGGAGAGGGAGGAAAGGGAACUGACUGUCAUUGGGUCCAUGGAAUUGCACAUAAAAUUCUUGCAUUCCAUCAUUAAUCAUCUCCACCUUGUAAUCACUCAUCAUCCUAGGGAAAGGAAAAGAUAAAGAAGACCCAGAAUCAGAAAGAGAAGGGGAAAAGAGGCCAUUAGAAAAAGAUUAAAACUUCGAUGGAAUUGAAGAAAGAAAGGAUUAACAGUUUCAUCAAGUCCAUCUCUCUGCGCUUGCUUGGGGAAGACAUGGUUCUGUGUGUGUUGGUCGGCCCUUGCUUUGCCUUUUUCCUUCUCCUCUUUAGCCUUUCCUUUGGCAAGUGGAGAGAGAAGUUAAGAUUGGAGACUCUUGUGCAAGCUGAAAACAAGUAAAAUUUG